UCCUCCGGUGCUGUAGCAGCACAGAAUGGUUUGUGGGUUACACAGGGGUGCAGACCAUGCUGUGCUGCCGCAGUAACGUCUGG
rfam:Scleropages formosus scaffold1471, whole genome shotgun sequence.